rnacentral:rRNA from 1 species
UGCAAGUCGAACGAGAGAUGAAGAGCUUGCUCUUCAAAUCGAGUGGCGAACGGGUGAGUAACGCGUGAGGAACCUGCCUCAAAGAGGGGGACAACAGUUGGAAACGACUGCUAAUACCGCAUAAGCCCGCGGCUCGGCAUCGAGCAGAGGGAAAAGGAGCAAUCCGCUUUGAGAUGGCCUCGCGUCCGAUUAGCUAGUUGGUGAGGUAAUGGCCCACCAAGGCGACGAUCGGUAGCCGGACUGAGAGGUUGAACGGCCACAUUGGGACUGAGACACGGCCCAGACUCCUACGGGAGGCAGCAGUGGGGAAUAUUGCACAAUGGGGGAAACCCUGAUGCAGCGACGCCGCGUGGAGGAAGAAGGUCUUCGGAUUGUAAACUCCUGUUGUUGAGGAAGAUAAUGACGGUACUCGACAAGGAAGUGACGGCUAACUACGUGCCAGCAGCCGCGGUAAAACGUAGGUCACAAGCGUUGUCCGGAAUUACUGGGUGUAAAGGGAGCGCAGGCGGGAGAACAAGUUGGAAGUGAAAUCCAUGGGCUCAACCCAUGAACUGCUUUCAAAACUGUUUUUCUUGAGUAGUGCAGAGGUAGGCGGAAUUCCCGGUGUAGCGGUGGAAUGCGUAGAUAUCGGGAGGAACACCAGUGGCGAAGGCGGCCUACUGGGCACCAACUGACGCUGAGGCUCGAAAGUGUGGGUAGCAAACAGGAUUAGAUACCCUGGUAGUCCACACCGUAAACGAUGAUUACUAGGUGUUGGAGGAUUGACCCCUUCAGUGCCGCAGUUAACACAAUAAGUAAUCCACCUGGGGAGUACGACCGCAAGGUUGAAACUCAAAGGAAUUGACGGGGGCCCGCACAAGCAGUGGAGUAUGUGGUUU